rnacentral:misc_RNA from 1 species
GAUCUCACAGCCUUCUGAUUCAUCAUGGGACCAUGAAUACACCAGCUUGUAGAUAUUGGGUUUCUCCUGUAAAUUUGCUGUUUGGGCCUCUUCUUUAUUUCUGACUAAUUGGAGAUGAUUGAUCGUCAAUUUACCUCUAAGGUUUUUCAAACGACCUAAUUCUUUUAUCCGACGACCUUUCUCUGAACCUAUGUAAAAAACCCGUAGCGUCUGAAGACUGGUCAAUUGCCCCAUAUUAAGUGGCGUCUGCAUAUCUGAUCCAUUGCAAUAUCAAUAUCAACAACCUUAU